GCAUGCAAGUCGAACGGUAGCAGUGCUUCGGCUCUGUGAGAGUGGCGGACGGGUGAGUAACACGUAGGUGAUCUACCCUUUGAGUUGGGGAUAGCCGGAGUGGAAACAUGGGGUAAUACCGAAUACGUUCAGGAAGCUGUGGCUUUCUGAGGAAAAGCGCUUCGGCGCUGCUUGAGGAUGAGCCUGCGGCUGAUUAGCUAGUUGGUGGGGUAAGAGCCCACCAAGGCGACGAUCAGUAGCCGGCCUGAGAGGGUGAGCGGCCACACUGGGACUGAGAUACGGCCCAGACUCCUACGGGAGGCAGCAGCUAAGAAUCUUCCGCAAUGGACGAAAGUCUGACGGAGCGACGCCGCGUGGGUGAUGAAGGCCGGAAGGUUGUAAAGCCCUUUUCUAUCUGAGGAAUAAGCACAGGAGGCAAUGCCUGUGUGAUGACGGUAGGGUAGGAAUAAGCCCCGGCCAAUUACGUGCCAGCAGCCGCGGUAACACGUAUGGGGCGAGCGUUGUUCGGAAUCAUUGGGCGUAAAGGGCGCGCAGGCGGUUAUGCAAGCCUGGUGUGAAAGACCGCAGCUCAAACUGCGGGAUCGCGCUGGGAACUGUGUGAACUAGAGUUCAAGAGGGGGAGCUGGAAUCCCUGGUGUAGGGGUGAAA
rnacentral:rRNA from 1 species